GGAUAUGAGGGCAAGCUGGCUGCAACAUCUGUCACUCCAUUAAUUACUAGAAUUGAUUUGGCUGAUCUGGUUGGCUAUGCAGUUGUCCCCUUCUUCUCUCAAUGCCCCAUGUGCCUCCCUCCCAAAGCUGCAUACUGGGUCCAAGAGGAGGCCACCCUCUGCCCAAUAGAGGCUGUGCUCCCUGGCUAGAACCUCCAUACAAGCUCACAAAGAUACCAGUAAAAUAACAGAAUGUAUGUCUUGUAAAACAGCACAGUGAAAAAAAUCAAUCU
rnacentral:snRNA from 1 species